rnacentral:rRNA from 1 species
UACGGGGGGUGCGAGCGUUGUCCGGAAUCACUGGGCGUAAAGGGCGCGUAGGUGGUUUGAUAAGGGUGUGGUGAAAGUCCGGGGCUCAACCCCGGAUCUGCCGUGCCGACUGUCAAACUCGAGGGCUGUAGAGGCAGACGGAAUUCCGGGUGUAGCGGUGGAAUGCGUAGAGAUCCGGAGGAAGACCGGUGGCGAAGGCGGCGCUCUGGAACGUUUCUGACGCUGAGGCUCGAAAGCGUGGGGAGCAAACAGG